UGGGAGGGGAAUGUUCGGGAGCAGGCUGCUCCAGCUCCCAAAGAGGCUGCCCUACUUCCUUUCCCCUGGAUGGCUGGAGAGGCAGCCUUCGGGGAGGCACCAGAUGCUUGGGAGGGUACGAUGUCCCUCUUUUUUUGGGGACCCAGUAGGAGAGAAUCCUCCGUGUCACCUGUCAUAGCUAGGGACUAGGGAGCCACGUUCCUGGACCUAAGUGCAUUGCUCAGUUCUUGUGGUUCCGGAUCCACCAGACUCCUCUCGCCACACGGGCUGUGGCACCGAGGUAGCAAACACCCUCAAGGCCUUAUGCCAGAAAUCUCUAUCCAUAGGACAGCCAAACUGAGGAUGCUGGGAUGAAGAAGGACAGAGUCAGAAGAGCCAUCAGCAGAUGCAGGGGAAGAAGGACAUGUCAAAAAUGAGAUAACAAGCCAUGAGCUACAUGUAGAGGGUUGCCAGAGUCGUCCUGAGAUUUGAUUCAAUUUGCAAUGCGGCUGAGGACCCUGGGUCCUGUUGUGAAAGUUCACUCCUGUUGCAUACUCUGAAGUCCUGCCAUCUACAGUCAUGCCAUCCUGAAGGCGUUCGGCAUUUACAGGGGUCAGCGGGAACACAGCCCGUUGGCCAACCAUUUUCUAUGCCACUAAGGGAAGGCCUGGAUACACCGAAGAUGAGCACUUAGAACCUGAGUGCUCAUGCAGUAACAUAACCUGGCUUAACCUCACACCAGGAAGAAAGAAAUUGCUUAAGCACAUUGUAUGGAGAUGCAUCUUCAUCUCAGAAGUCAUGGCAUCUGAAGUAUGGCAGAAGAAAUGAUAGUUGCCUAAUCCGUAAAGAAAGACAAGACAGAAGAAAGAUGUCCACACUGACUUUAAACGGAAAGCACCACCUUGUGGGAUGAUUGUACAUAUGUGACUCCAAAGAAGCAACCCAGAGCCAGCAGGUAAACAGCUAAGCUCACUGUAGCAGGAACCUACAAGGAAUAAAGACUCAAAUACAAGAGAUCACCAAGUGCCUGAUCAGAGAUCCGCUGUGUUCAGUGAGCAGGCCAUGCAGUGGCUCGUGAGCAUCAAGCCCCCAUGCGGGAUGGACUUGAUGGGUUCACACCUUCUUUAUCCACCACUACCCUCACAGAUACUUAUUUCUCCAGGCAGUUUGAAACUGGGACCUUUAUAUUUAGUCUUUAAUGUUAUCUUAUUUCAUUUUCUUGUUUGUUUUGUUUAUUUGUUUGUUUGUUUGGGACAGGGUUUCUCUGUGUAGCCCUGGCUAUCCUGGAACUCUGUGUAGGUCAGGCUGGUCUUAAACUCAAGAGAUCUACCUGCCUCUGCCUCCUGAGUGCUGGCAUGAAAGGUUUGUGCCACCAUUACUUGGCUGUUAUCUUAUUUGCUAUGGAGAUUAAAGUUUCUAUAACUUAAUAUAUACUGUCAGUUAUGCUGUACAGUUUGGAAACAUAUCUUAGGUAGUUAUCCUUUUUUAGUAUUGCAACAGAGCAUAACAAAUGAAUGUUUAAAAUAACGAUGUUUAUGAUUAUAGAACUUACUUGUUUACUAAGGAGAACCCAGAAAUUGCUGUAAAAUAUGAGAGUUAACAUAAAGAUCCCCCAUUAGCCCAUUAUCCAGGAGUGACUACUGAUAAACAUAUCCAUGUAUUUCUUUACCAUCAUCAAUAAGUAUUUUUUUUUUGCUGAGAGCAAACCUGUUUUCUGAUGGGAAAUUUGUACUUUUCAAACUUAGAAGUAAAUGGUAAUAGACUCAAUGGGCCCCUGAGAAGUCACACCUUUGUCCAGGACCUCUUUCUGUUAGAAGACUUCCUAGGAAUAGGAGACAAAAUUGGAAUAGGCUGAAUCACCACCACCUCCCAGCUCUUCCAGGUGAGGCAUCCAAGAAUCGCCCAAGCAGGUGCCCUUUGCAUUGGCUGUCUUCAGAUACUAAGAUGUCACUCAUGGUCAAUAGUUCUUCUCUCAUCCCCUACAACAGUCAGGGGUUCUCCAUAGGGAGAACUGAGGUGGUUGGAGGUGUGUGUGUGUGUGUGUGUGUGUGUGUGUGUGUGUGUGUGUGUGAACCUUCUCCCUCACUCACUGAGAGCUUGGCAAGUCCAGGAGAGAAGCAGCUGAUUAUUUUUAGCCCCUUGUGCAUAACAAAAGAAUGCUAAUGCUCAGUGUCUUCAUGAAAGCUCUCGAGUUCAUCAGCUUUGCAAAGAAGUGAAAUUAAAUCAAGAUUUAAUUGGGAUAUGCAUGUUUUAUUCAUUCUACUAACCACAGGAGAAGCCAGCAAGCUGAAGGUAAAAAAGAGGGAGAAAAUCUUUUGAAAAGUUGUUUCUCUCUGAUUAAAUAGAGAUAGUUUUCAACUUCAAAGGGAGAAGGCCUUUAAUGUAUUUUAAAUGCUGAAGUAGGCUUAGCCUGACCAACUGUACUACGAUUGGGCAACGUAAACCAGGGAUGCCCUGUUCCAAACUUCACAUCCUAGGUUCCAAGGCCAGGUCUGCAGCUCCCAAUCCUAUCUUCUGGGCUUCAGUAUAGAGCCUUGAAACAAUGUUUGGGGACUCCAGAGAGGAAUGGGCACAGGCUGGAAUACCUGAAGUCACCCUGUGGAAUCUGAGUCCUCUCUCCUACCACAAUACUCCCUCUCCCCCCUUGUGAGGGAUUUCCAUCUUGGAAAGGGACACAUAUUGAGUAUCCAGCAAACUAUGUUAGUUACAAAGAUAGUGUAUUAUGCCUGAGCUUCAUGUACCUAACAAGUUAGAACAAGAUAUCAAAGACACAAAUUACAUGGGAAAUAGAGAGCAAUAAGCCAGGGUUUCUGGAAAGGUUUAAGAUACUCUGAAGAGACCAAAAGUAGAAGCAAGGUGAAGGAGACAAAGUAAGCCUAGGAAAGAGGAUGGGAGGACAUAUAGAAUUUCUGCAUAUGUAAUUCCUGAAAGUGUUCCAAGCAGGGAAGCCCACAGCCCAACUGCUGGAGACGGGUAUGUGGGGGAGGCUGUCUGGUUGGCUGUGUAUGUGGUGUAUGCACAGGUUAUGGGAAAGUGUGGAAUGGCUAUCGGAACAAAUGCACAGAGAGCCUUAGACAGGUCGAACAUGGUAUACAUUUGGGAGGCUGAAUAAAGAUAAAGGUUGAUCAAGUGUGCUGGUUAGCUUUAACUAUUAACUUGACAACCUAGUACCACCUGGAAAGACAGUAUUCAUGAGGAAUUGCCUAUAUCAGAUCUGCAAGGAAUUGUUUCAAAUGUUAAUUGAUACAGGAAGGCACUAGCUAUUGUGGGUGGCAUCAUUCCCUAGGCAGGGGUUUCUGAACAGUUUAAGAGAGGAGAAAUCUGUCUGAGACCAAGCAAGUAAGCAAGAAAGAAGACCCGCAGGCAUUUAUUUCUCUCUGAUCUUGACUGUGGAUGCCAUGUAAUUAGAUGCUCGAGUUUCUGCCUUGAAUUCCCACUCCCCAGUGAUGGACUGUAACAUAGAAUUGCAAAUUGAAUAAACUCUUUCACCCCUAA